GAUAGAAUAAUGUAGGUAAGGGAAGUCGGCAAAUUAGAUCCGUAACUUCGGGAUAAGGAUUGGCUCUGAAGAUUGAGAUAGUCGGGCUUGAUUGGGAAACAAUAACAUGGUUUAUGUGCUCGUUCUGGGUAAAUAGAGUUUCUAGCAUUUAUGUUAGUUACUUGUUCCCCGGAUAGUUUAGUUACGUAGCCAAUUGUGGAACUUUCUUGCUAAAAUUUUUAAGAAUACUAUUUGGGUUAAACCAAUUAGUUCUUAUCAAUUAUAACGAUUAUCAAUUACCAAUCAAUUCAGAACUGGCACGGACUUGGGGAAUCCGACUGUCUAAUUAAAACAAAGCAUUGUGAUGGCCCUAGCGGGUGUUGACACAAUGUGAUUUCUGCCCAGUGCUCUGAAUGUCAAAGUGAAGAAAUUCAAGUAAGCGCGGGUCAACGGCGGGAGUAACUAUGACUCUCUUAAGGUAGCCAAAUGCCUCGUCAUCUAAUUAGUGACGCGCAUGAAUGGAUUAACGAGAUUCCUACUGUCCCUAUCAGUGACGCGCAUGAAUGGAUUAACGACGGACGUGUUUUCGUUGCGCUCGUGUACAGAUUGCGAAGAACUUGGUUUUCCGUGUUUGGAAAGUAAUAAAAUCGGUGAAUUAGUGCUCCGCGAAAGUCGUGUGCUAAUUUUCGUGUGUUAUAAACAAGCGGUUUGGAAGUAAUUAACAAUUAAUUGUUGGGAAUUUUCCACUUAGCACGUGCUGAAGGCGAACUUACGAGUAAGUUUUUCGAGUAAGCUUUUUGAUCAGCUGUCACAAAGCUUAUUGGUGGGAGUCACUGCUAAGGUUUGUGUCUAGGGAGAGUUUUAGUGCUACCAGACUCUACCGAUAGGUGGAGCUCGAGUUCCAGAGCAACUACCUUUUGUCAGCGAGUAAACGAGCAUACGGUUGCUGGCGUCGACGGUAGGUGGAGCCACCAUCGUAUUUAUGCCGAUGGAGAGCGACAGCAGCGCGAGUGCCUUGAGCGGAAGUAGUGCCUCGAUGAAGUCCAGACGAGGCAGGCGCAGAAGCCAUCUGGCAUCUAAGAGCUCGGCGCCAACGCAGGCGAAAUUGGUUGCCCUGGCAUCGAAUGGAGUGCCAGAACCCGUUGGGGUACUGGAGGAGCCGUUUUCGUCGCUGGAGGACGCCCGGGCGGCUACGGAGAACGCUGCCAUUGAUGCUGCCCCCCCCCACGCUGCUGCCACCGCUGCUGAUCCUACUGCUGCCCCUGCUGCCGACCACACUGCAUGCGCUCCGCCGUUUUCACUGCUGCUAAAAUUGUUGCCACCACUGCCACUGCCCGCCACCGCUGCCGCCCGUGCUGGGCAAGCAGCCAUGAUGGCAGAGCUGUCGGCCACACAGCGCAUGGUGAGAAGCAGCUUCCGCAGACUAGGAGAAGUGGACACGGAAGAGCUCUCAUAUGCUAUCAGCCGCUACGAUGAGCUGGUGUUGGCGCUAAUGCUCCGGUGCGGAGAGCUGGAGACGCGGCUUGCUAUGCCGCCACCGCCGCCGCCGUCGUUGAAUCUGUUGAAAAAUACGGCCGCCAAUGCUCCCCAGAUGCAGCAGGUUGCACCCAUCGCUGCCCCGCGGACUACCAAGGUCCGCGAGACGUGGUCAGCGGUGGUGAAGUGCGACGACCCUGCGCUAUCGGGGAAAGACAUAGCGGAAAAGGUGCGAACGAUGGUUGCACCCUCUCUCGGAGUCAGAGUACACGAGGUCCGUGAGCUCCCGUCGAGGUGGUGGUGCGAUCAUUCGCACUCCUUCGGUGGGAGAGCUGCAGAAGGUGGUCGCUUCAAAAAGAUUCGCCGAGGUUGGCCUAAAUGUGGCACGGAAUGCGGCCGAGAAGCCGAAGGUCGUCGUAUAUGACGUCGACACAGCUAUCGGCCCUGAGGAGUUUAUGAAGGAGCUCCACGAAAACAACUUCGACAGCGAAAUGAAUCUGGCCCAGUUUAAGAAGUCAGUGCACCUGGUGACCAAGGCGUGGUCGGUAGCUGACGGCGCCACAGUAAAUGUGACGCUGGAGGUUGACGACCGGGCGAUGGCGAAGCUUGAUGUAGGUCGUGUCUACAUCAAGUGGUUCUCAUUCCGAUGCCGGUCACAGGUCCGCACAUACGCCUGCCACAGAUGUGUGGGUUUCGACCACAAGGUCAGCGAAUGCCGGCAGAAGGAUAGUGUCUGUCGCCAGUGCGGGCAACAAGGCCACACUGCGGCAAAGUGCCAAAACCCGGUGGACUGCCGGAACUGCCGCCACAGAGGGCAACCCUCGGGGCAUUACAUGCUCUCGAGCGUUUGCCCGAUAUACGGGGCGUUGCUGGCGAGGGUGCAAGCUAGACACUAAUGUUUAGCUUCAUCCAAGCGAACUGUGGCCGAGGCCGAGCUGCGACCAUCGAGCUCGGAGUCCGACUCAGGAGAUCGGAGUCUAUGUUCGCGCUGGUGCAGGAGCCGUAUCUCGACGGGGACGGAAUGGAUGUGCUGCCUGAAGGAAUGAGAAUUUUCAUCGAUCGGCGAGGGAAGGCAGCCAUCCUAGUGGAUCACCAGGAAGCCAUCUGUAUGCCAGUGGAGACCCUCACCACAGAUUAUGGCGUAUGUCUGGUCGUGAAAGGGAGUUUUGGCUCAAUCUUCCUUUGCGCCGCAUACUGCCAGUAUGAUGCACCUCUGGAACCGUACAUCCGGUACAUGGAUGCGGUCCUGCUGCAGGCCAGCAGAACCCCCGCAAUCCUGGGCCUCGACGCGAAUGCAGUGUCCCCCAUGUGGCUUAGCAAACUCUCUCGUCAUGCCGAGGGGCAAGCUAACUACAGACGGGGUGAGCUGCUGUCAGAGUGGAUGCUGGAGGCAAGAGUCGCCGCCCUAAACCAGUCAACAGAGGUGUACACGUUCGAUAAUUACAGAGCUACAAGCGAUAUCGACGUGACAAUCGUCAAUGAGGCAGCAUCUAUGUGGGCCACAUAUGAGUGGAGAGUGGACGAGUGGGAAUUGAGUGACCACAACAUCAUUACUGUUGUGGCCGAACCAACUACCGCGCGCGCAGUUGAGAGCAUAGCUCCUGUGCCGUCCUGGAACUUCUCCAAUGCACGUUGGCGAUUGUUCAAGGAGGAAAUGGUGAGUAGAGCAGCCGAACUUCCGGAAAACUUCUCAGAGUCGCCGUUGGACCAGCAAGUUUCGACCCUGCGCAGUAUAGUACAUAAUGUAUGUGAUAUUGCGCUGGGAAGAAAGUCCAUCCGAUUGCCCAGCAGGAGAGCACGUUGGUGGACUGCCGACCUCUGUGAUGCAAGGCGCGAAGUCCGGAGACUUCGUCGCCUACUUCAAAAUGGAAGGCGUCAUGAUGAUGAUGCCGCAAUAGAGCGUGUAUUGGUCGACCUGAGGCGGGCCUCAGCCAACUACAAGAAGCUCAUUUGGAGGGCGAAAAUGGAUGAGUGGAAACGCUUCGUGGGAGAUCAUGCCGACGACCCAUGGGGGCGCGUCUAUAAGAUUUGCCGAGGCCGCAGGAAGUGCACGGAGAUUGGGUGCCUCCGCGUGAAUGGCGAGAUGAUCACCGAUUGGGGUGACUGUGCACGAGUGCUCCUCCGCAAUUUCUUCCCAGUUGCGGAGUCCGAAGCACCGACUGCCAUCGCGGAGGAAGUCCCACCGGCCCUCGAAGUAUUCGAGGUUGAUGCAUGUGUUGCCCGGUUGAAGAGCAGGCGCUCUCCCGGCUUGGACGGCAUUAAUGGCACUAUCUGCAAGGCAGUCUGGCGCGCCAUACCCGAGCACCUUGCAUCGUUGUUUUCCCGAUGCAUCCGAUUAGGAUACUUUCCCGCUGAGUGGAAGUGCCCACGAGUUGUCUCGCUGCUCAAAGGGCCAGAUAAGGACAAAUGUGAGCCCUCCUCAUAUAGAGGAAUAUGCUUGCUACCAGUCUUUGGUAAGGUGCUCGAGGCCAUCAUGGUGAAUCGUGUGAGAGAAGUUCUUCCGGAAGGCUGCAGAUGGCAAUUUGGAUUUCGCCAAGGACGAUGUGUGGAGGAUGCUUGGAGGCACGUGAAGAGCAGUGUUUGUGCCAGCCCGGCGCAAUACGUGCUCGGCACAUUCGUGGACUUCAAAGGAGCAUUCGACAACGUCGAAUGGAGUGCUGCACUCCGCCGACUAGCCGACUUGGGAUGCCGGGAGAUGGGCUUGUGGCAGAGCUUUUUCUCCGGCCGAAGAGCAGUGAUCCGAAGCAGUUCCGGUACUGUGGAUGUACCGGUAACUAGAGGCUGCCCGCAGGGGUCAAUCAGUGGCCCAUUUAUCUGGGACAUACUGAUGGAUGUACUGCUUCAGCGUCUCCAGCCGUAUUGCCAGCUGAGUGCAUACGCGGAUGACUUGCUGCUUCUCGUCGAGGGAAAUUCCCGAGCUGAGCUAGAGGAAAAAGGUGCAGAGCUGAUGUCCAUCGUAGAAGCGUGGGGAGCGGAAGUUGGCGUUACCGUCUCGACCAGCAAGACGGUAAUAAUGCUGCUGAAAGGUGCCUUGAGACGUGCGCCUACGGUGAGGUUUGCUGGAGCGAACCUUCCGUAUGUGCGUAGCUGUCGGUACCUUGGCAUCACGGUCAGUGAAGGAAUGAAAUUCCUCACGCACAUAGCUUCGCUUCGCCAGCGGAUGACCGGAGUCGUUGGAGCAUUGGCGCGUGUGCUUCGAGCCGACUGGGGCUUCAGUCCUCGAGCCAGGCGGACCAUAUAUGACGGACUCAUGGCACCUUGUGUGCUGUUUGGUGCCCCGGUAUGGUAUGACACCGCCGAACAGGUAGCCGCCCGGAGACGACUAGCCUCCUGCCAGAGGCUAAUCCUGCUUGGAUGCCUUUCGGUAUGCCGAACAGUGUCCACAGUGGCACUGCAGGUACUUGGCGGAGCUCCCCCGCUUGACUUGGCUGCUAAGUUUUUAGCGGUCAAGUACAAGCUGAAGCGUGGAUACCCGCUGGAGGAGAACGACUGGCUAUACGGCGAGGACACUACGUGUCUAAGCUGGAAGCAGAGGAAGACUCGCCUAGAGGAGUGCUUGCUGCAGAAUUGGCAAAACAGAUGGGAUGACGACAGCGAACCAGGACGGGUGACGCACAAGUUCAUCCCAUACGUCACUCUCGCCUAUCGAGAUCCAAGCUUUGGAUUCUCGAUGAGGACGUCUUUCCUGCUGACAGGUCACGGGUCGUUUAACGCAUUUUUGCAAGGGAGAGCCCUCAGCGAUACCACUGCUUGCGCUUGUGGUGAUCCAUAUGAGGACUGGAUGCACAUAUUGUGCGCUUGUCCUCUAUAUGCAGAUUUGCGAAACCUCGAUGGACUUGGAGUGCAGCGCCUUGGCGAAAACUGGACCUUCAAUAGAAUCCUGGAAGAUCAGCAGAGGAUUCAACGGCUGGCAGCGUUUGCGGACGAGGUGUUCCGUAGGAGGAGGGGUAUUUAGCCCAAAACUUCGCCGUGUGGUUAGCGGGCGAGAAUACUUCCACAGCCCGCUAUUGCUUGUCGUAAGAGGCGACUAAUAUAGCGACUGGUUCCUCUAACCAUGCUUGUCGGAGCAAAAGGAGGAGGCCCACCGAGCCUCUCUUUCGGUACCACGGGUUGUGCUGCUCCAAGACAGCACAUUGAGGUAGGCCCCCUGGUGGGAGUAUCGUGGUGGCUGUGGUUGAUACCCAUAUCGCGGGUAGAGCCUUCGUGUUCGACGUUUGAGUUACGGUGCUAGUUGCGCAAAACUCGGGUGCUGUGACCCAGAGAUCAGUAGAGAUUUUAGGUAGAUCUCGCUCCUCAGCAAGGGGGAGUGCUUGCCCGGCAAGCAAGUACUCGAAUUGCUACCGGGGUGGUCGCUAUGUACAUAGCUAUAGCUUCCAGUCCGGGACGUUUGUCUGGCGUAUCCAGACUCAUGCACCAUGUUGAUACAUGCACCACUUGUGGGUGUUCAGGGUGUCGUGGUUGUAAUCCCUUCAGUGUGGAACACGCCACGUAAAACAAGUUCGGAGAGGUCCGAAAGUCACUGUCACUGUCCCUAUCUACUAUCUAGCGAAACCACAGCCAAGGGAACGGGCUUGGAAUAAUUAGCGGGGAAAGAAGACCCUUUUGAGCUUGACUCUAAUCUGGCAGUGUAAGGAGACAUAAGAGGUGUAGAAUAAGUGGGAGAUAUUAGACCUCGGUUUGGUAUCGUCAAUGAAAUACCACUACUCUUAUUGUUUCCUUACUUACUUGAUUAAAUGGAACNNNNNNNNNNNNNNNNNNNNNNNNNNNNNNNNNNNNNNNNNNNNNNNNNNNNNNNNNNNNNNNNNNNNNNNNNNNNNNNNNNNNNNNNNNNNNNNNNNNNNNNNNNNNNNNNNNNNNNNNNNNNNNNNNNNNNNNNNNNNNNNNNNNNNNNNNNNNNNNNNNNNNNNNNNNNNNNNNNNNNNNNNNNNNNNNNNNNNNNNNNNNNNNNNNNNNNNNNNNNNNNNNNNNNNNNNNNNNNNNNNNNNNNNNNNNNNNNNUUUUGAUUUGAAAAUUUCGUAUAACUCCAAUUACUCAGGUAUGAUCCAAUUCAAGGACAUUGCCAGGUAAGGGAGUUGACUGGGGCGGUACAUCUCUCAAAUAAUAACGGAGGUGUCCCAAGGCCAGCUCAGUGCGGACAGAAACCACACAUAGAGCAAAAGGGCAAAUGCUGACUUGAUCUCGGUGUUCAGUACACACAGGGACAGCAAAAGCUCGGCCUAUCGAUCCUUUUGGUUUAAAGAGUUUUUAACAAGAGGUGUCAGAAAAGUUACCAUAGGGAUAACUGGCUUGUGGCGGCCAAGCGUUCAUAGCGACGUCGCUUUUUGAUCCUUCGAUGUCGGCUCUUCCUAUCAUUGUGAAGCAAAAUUCACCAAGCGUUGGAUUGUUCACCCAUGCAAGGGAACGUGAGCUGGGUUUAGACCGUCGUGAGACAGGUUAGUUUUACCCUACUAAUGACAAAACGUUGUUGCGACAGCAUUCCUGCGUAGUACGAGAGGAACCGCAGGUACGGACCAAUGGCACAAUACUUGUUCGAGCGAACAGUGGUAUGACGCUACGUCCGUUGGAUUAUGCCUGAACGCCUCUAAGGUCGUAUCCGUGCUGGACUGCAAUGAUAAAUAAGGGGCAAUUUGCAUUGUAUGGCUUCUAAACCAUUUAAAGUUUAUAAUUUAUUUUAUAAACGACAAUGGAUGUGAUGCCAAUGUAAUUUGUAACAUAGUAAAUUAGGAGGAUCUUCGAUCACCUGAUGCCGCGCUAGUUACAUAUAAAAGCAUUAUUUAAUACAAUGACAAAGCCUAGAAUCAAUUGUAAACGACUUUUGUAACAGGCAAGGUGUUGUAAGUGGUUGAGCAGCUGCCAUACUGCGAUCCACUGAAGCUUAUCCUUUGCUUGAUGAUUC
rnacentral:ncRNA from 1 species